UGCAGUCACUUCUAACUGGAGUUAGUUGUCUCAAAUAGAUUUGCUUACGAAUUGACUUGACUUGAAUUGUGUGACCAAUAUUUUACUCUCCAUAAAAGCAGAAAAAGGUUUGUUGCAUAGCUACAGUUUGUACUUCUGUACUUUUUAUAGAGAAGUGUUACACGGGGGGUCAUAAACCUGAAGAAACCUAAAGCAAUUCUGUUUGAGAGAGUUGUUUUAGGCAGGUGUGUAAGACUUUAGGUAUACAGUUCACACAUGACUGUCCUGGUGACUGCAACAAUCAGGGGAAACAGUGAGGAAACUAAAACUAGCAAAAGUAUUUAAUCAAGAUUUUGAUUAAUUUUACUGUCUUUCUGUUUUUAUUGUCUCUCCAUCUCUGCUACAAAUGAAAGGCUUAAUCUCUGUUUGGGAAACCAAACCAUGGACACAGAACACAGUUAAUUAAAUGGAAUUCAAUGUUAAAGAUACAGUACUAAUAAUAUUCACUGCUGAAAUGGUUCCCACUUCCUGCUAAGGUGCUGCUACAUGGCUACUGUGUUGUGUUCCUAGCUGAUUUCUGUGCAGUUGUAUUCCAGAUGGUUGCUAGGGUCUUUAAGGUGGUUGUCGAGUGGUUACUCUGGUAACCCGUUUAACAAUGAGCCAAAUAUAUUUUGUACCAAAUAUAGAUGUAGAAUGUUGUACAAUUUUAAGAUCUUUUAAUAAUCGCAUGAGGUUUAGUAAAUUUCGACAGUAGACGCUGUAUUUUAUUUUUCAUAUUGUACACUGUUUAUGCUUAUGCCCGGCUGUCCUCUUCUUCUUACGUAUGUAGUCUCAUAGACGGCAGGGGUGCCAGACUAAAGAAACAAACACACAAUGGCUGACCAGCUGAAUUUAAGUUAAAAGAAAAUGUGUUUGUAAUGUAAUAUUUGAUAAGGGCCCUUGAGCAUUUCGAAUCAAGUCAGCUUGAGAACUGUUUUUUUCUGUUGCAACAGGGCGCACGGGUACGAUGGUGUGUACAUGGUUGAUUGACAGCGUUUAGUUUGAGAGUGCGCAGGUGUGGGAAAGGGCAAUGGCAGUGAUCUGAAGGUGCGGAUCAUAGUGAAAAGAGAGCAGGUGUUCCAGUGUGUCUGUGCCACGCAGACGAACUGUAGGCUGUUCCCAGAUACUGAAAACAAUGCCGUGGUGAUCAGCUUUCAGGAAGGGCCAGUGGUUUGUGGUGAUGUUAAGGUCAUGUUUGAAUCCAGGGCUGGUCUUCCAAAGGGGUAUGAGGACUAUCCUUUCUAUUUCUGGUUCAACACUUAAUUUGUAGAGAACAACAGGUGAGGUUUUUGCUGUCCAUUGUCCUCAGAAGCAGACACUGGCUUUGUUUACCUACCAGACCACUCUGGUUUUAGAUUUUAUAUAUAAAAAUGCCAGGCCACUUAAUUCAUUAAUUAGAAUAUUUUGAUAUUUUGUCCCCUCUCAGUUUAGUAACAUUACUGCUUUCAAUGUAAAACGAAAAAUCAUAUGGACUGCUGCACAAGGUCUAAAUCUUUGCUCUAAUGUAGGUUUUCACACACUUAUAAAAGGUGAGUGAUGUUUAGCGAUUGGAUUCGGGCAUAUUGUGCCCCUAAAGCUAUAGCUAUAGCUAUAUAACCUCAACUUUAUGUCCAUCCCCCAUCUUCACUGUAAGAGCUUUUUACUGAGCCAUGCAUACACCACAAUAUUAUGCAUUUGUUUGUCAAAUGUUUUUUUGUCUUUAAAUGAAGACAAAUGUUUGUGUCAGUUUAGCAUAUUAAGCCUCCAAAAUGUAAAUCUUACUCUUUAAGCUUGAGUGUACAUCAAAUAAAGCAAUCGAGGCUGCCACUGUGAAAUGGUCAAUGGUUAUGUGUGCAGAAACAUGUUUUUGUAGUACACAUGUAUUGAAAUAAAUACUAAUGUCUCUGUAA